UACGUAGGUGGCAAGCGUUGUCCGGAUUUACUGGGCGUAAAGGGCGUGCAGGCGGUUCGUUUAGUCCAGGGUGAAAGCCCCCGGCUCAACCGGGGAGGGUCGUUGGUGACUGUCGCGCUUGAAGGCAGCAGGGGUGAGUGGAAUUCCUGGUGUAGCGGUGAAAUGCGCAGAUAUCAGGAGGAACACCGGUGGCGAAGGCGGAUCUCUGGGCCUUACCUGACGCUCAGGCACGAAAGCGUGGGGAGCAAACGGG
rnacentral:rRNA from 1 species